rnacentral:rRNA from 1 species
GAUCCUGGCUCAGGACGAACGCUGGCGGCGUGCCUAACACAUGCAAGUCGAACGAAGCACUUCCGAAUGGAGAUUCGUCAAAGUUCGGAUUUGACUUAGUGGCGGACGGGUGAGUAAUGCAUGAGCAACCUGCCCUGCAGUGGGGGACAACAGUUGGAAACGACUGCUAAUACCGCAUGAUGUGCCGAGGGGGCAUCCCUUUGGCACCAAAGAAUUUAUCGCUGUGGGAUGGG